rnacentral:rRNA from 1 species
UAGGGAAUCUUCCGCAAUGGACGCAAGUCUGACGGAGCAACGCCGCGUGAGUGAAGAAGGAUUUCGGUUCGUAAAACUCUGUUGUUAGAGAAGAACAGCGCAUAGAGUAACUGUUAUGCGUGUGACGGUAUCUAACCAGAAAGCCACGGCUAACUCCGUGCCAGCAGCCGCGGUAAUACGUAGGUGGCAAGCGUUGUCCGGAUUUAUUGGGCGUAAAGCGAGCGCAGGCGGUCAAUUAAGUCUGAUGUGAAAGCCCCCGGCUCAACCGGGGAGGGUCAUUGGAAACUGGUUGACUUGAGUGCAGAAGAGGAGAGUGGAAUUCCAUGUGUAGCGGUGAAAUGCGUAGAUAUAGGGAGGAACACCAGUGGCGAAGGCGACUCUCUGGUCUGUAACUGACGCUGAGGCUCGAAAGCGUGGGUAGCAAAAAGG